rnacentral:rRNA from 1 species
GACGAACGCUGGCGGCGUGCUUAACACAUGCAAGUCGAACGGAGUGGGGAACGGGGGAGUAACACAUGGGGGAAAUGCCCUGCACUUCGGGAGAAGACUGGGAAACAGGGGGUAAUACAGGAUAGUGUGGGAAGGGCCCGCGGCCUAUCAGCUUGUUGGUGGGGUAAUGGGCUACCGAGGCGGCGACGGGUAGCCGGGCUGAGCGGGUGGACGGCCACAUUGGGACUGGGACACGGCCCAGACUCCUACUGGGGGCAGCAGUGCGGAGUGCUGCACAAUGGUCCGAAGCCUGAUGCAGCGACGCGGCGUGGUUGAUGACGGCCUUCGUGUUGUCAACUCCUUUCGCCUUCUACGCGGUAGAUGGAGAAGAAGCACCGGCUAACUACGUGCCAGCAGCCGCGGUAAUAC